GGUUAAGCGACUAAGCGUACACGGUGGAUGCCCUGGCAGUCAGAGGCGAUGAAGGACGUGCUAAUCUGCGAAAAGCGUCGGUAAGGUGAUAUGAACCGUUAUAGCCGGCGAUGUCCGAAUGGGGAAACCCAGUGCAAUUCGUUGCACUAUCGUUAACUGAAUACAUAGGUUAACGAGGCGAACCGGGGGAACUGAAACAUCUAAGUACCCCGAGGAAAAGAAAUCAACCGAGAUUCCCCCAGUAGCGGCGAGCGAACGGGGAGCAGCCCAGAGUCUGAAUCAGCUUGUGUGUUAGUGGAACGGUCUGGAAAGUCCGACGGUACAGGGUGAUAGUCCCGUACACCAAAAUGCACAGGCUGUGAACUCGAAGAGUAGGGCGGGACACGUGGUAUCCUGUCUGAAUAUGGGGGGACCAUCCUCCAAGGCUAAAUACUCCUGACUGACCGAUAGUGAACCAGUACCGUGAGGGAAAGGCGAAAAGAACCCCGGCGAGGGGAGUGAAAAAGAACCUGAAACCGUGUACGUACAAGCAGUGGGAGCACCUUCGGGUGUGACUGCGUACCUUUUGUAUAAUGGGUCAGCGACUUAUAUUCUGUAGCAAGGUUAACCGUAUAGGGGAGCCGCAGGGAAACCGAGUCUUAACUGGGCGUUAAGUUGCAGGGUAUAGACCCGAAACCCGGUGAUCUAGCCAUGGGCAGGUUGAAGGUUGGGUAACACUAACUGGAGGACCGAACCGACUAAUGUUGAAAAAUUAGCGGAUGACUUGUGGCUGGGGGUGAAAGGCCAAUCAAACCGGGAGAUAGCUGGUUCUCCCCGAAAGCUAUUUAGGUAGCGCCUCGUGAACUCAUCUUCGGGGGUAGAGCACUGUUUCGGCUAGGGGGUCAUCCCGACUUACCAACCCGAUGCAAACUACGAAUACCGAAGAAUGUUAUCACGGGAGACACACGGCGGGUGCUAACGUCCGUCGUGAAGAGGGAAACAACCCAGACCGCCAGCUAAGGUCCCAAAGUCAUGGUUAAGUGGGAAACGAUGUGGGAAGGCACAGACAGCCAGGAUGUUGGCUUAGAAGCAGCCAUCAUUUAAAGAAAGCGUAAUAGCUCACUGGUCGAGUCGGCCUGCGCGGAAGAUGUAACGGGGCUAAACCAUGCACCGAAGCUGCGGCAGCGACACUAUGUGUUGUUGGGUAGGGGAGCGUUCUGUAAGCCUGCGAAGGUGACCUGUGAGGGUUGCUGGAGGUAUCAGAAGUGCGAAUGCUGACAUAAGUAACGAUAAAGCGGGUGAAAAGCCCGCUCGCCGGAAGACCAAGGGUUCCUGUCCAACGUUAAUCGGGGCAGGGUGAGUCGACCCCUAAGGCGAGGCCGAAAGGCGUAGUCGAUGGGAAACAGGUUAAUAUUCCUGUACUUGGUGUUACUGCGAAGGGGGGACGGAGAAGGCUAUGUUAGCCGGGCGACGGUUGUCCCGGUUUAAGCAUGUAGGCUGGUUAUCCAGGCAAAUCCGGAUAAUCAAGGCUGAGGUGUGAUGACGAGGCACUACGGUGCUGAAGUAACAAAUGCCCUGCUUCCAGGAAAAGCCUCUAAGCAUCAGGUAACAUCAAAUCGUACCCCAAACCGACACAGGUGGUCAGGUAGAGAAUACCAAGGCGCUUGAGAGAACUCGGGUGAAGGAACUAGGCAAAAUGGUGCCGUAACUUCGGGAGAAGGCACGCUGGUGUGUAGGUGAAGUCCCUGCGGAUGGAGCUGAGACCAGUCGAAGAUACCAGCUGGCUGCAACUGUUUAUUAAAAACACAGCACUGUGCAAACACGAAAGUGGACGUAUACGGUGUGACGCCUGCCCGGUGCCGGAAGGUUAAUUGAUGGGGUUAUCCGUAAGGAGAAGCUCUUGAUCGAAGCCCCGGUAAACGGCGGCCGUAACUAUAACGGUCCUAAGGUAGCGAAAUUCCUUGUCGGGUAAGUUCCGACCUGCACGAAUGGCGUAAUGAUGGCCAGGCUGUCUCCACCCGAGACUCAGUGAAAUUGAACUCGCUGUGAAGAUGCAGUGUACCCGCGGCAAGACGGAAAGACCCCGUGAACCUUUACUAUAGCUUGACACUGAACAUUGAGCCUUGAUGUGUAGGAUAGGUGGGAGGCUUUGAAGCGUGGACGCCAGUCUGCGUGGAGCCAACCUUGAAAUACCACCCUUUAAUGUUUGAUGUUCUAACGUUGGCCCCUUACCGGGGUUGCGGACAGUGUCUGGUGGGUAGUUUGACUGGGGCGGUCUCCUCCCAAAGCGUAACGGAGGAGCACGAAGGUUAGCUAAUCCUGGUCGGACAUCAGGAGGUUAGUGCAAUGGCAUAAGCUAGCUUGACUGCGAGCGUGACGGCGCGAGCAGGUGCGAAAGCAGGUCAUAGUGAUCCGGUGGUUCUGAAUGGAAGGGCCAUCGCUCAACGGAUAAAAGGUACUCCGGGGAUAACAGGCUGAUACCGCCCAAGAGUUCAUAUCGACGGCGGUGUUUGGCACCUCGAUGUCGGCUCAUCACAUCCUGGGGCUGAAGUAGGUCCCAAGGGUAUGGCUGUUCGCCAUUUAAAGUGGUACGCGAGCUGGGUUUAGAACGUCGUGAGACAGUUCGGUCCCUAUCUGCCGUGGGCGCUGGAGAAUUGAGGGGGGCUGCUCCUAGUACGAGAGGACCGGAGUGGACGCAUCACUGGUGUUCGGGUUGUCAUGCCAAUGGCACUGCCCGGUAGCUAAAUGCGGAAGAGAUAAGUGCUGAAAGCAUCUAAGCACGAAACUUGCCCCGAGAUGAGUUCUCCCUGAGACUUUAAGUCUCCUGAAGGAACGUUGAAGACGACGACGUUGAUAGGCCGGGUGUGUAAGCGCAGCGAUGCGUUGAGCUAACCGGUACUAAUGAACCGUGAGGCUUAACCUUAC
rnacentral:rRNA from 1 species